CAGCACGAAGUCAGACCCAUCGUGGGUGCAGGUCACAGCUUGCAAGCAAGCAAGCUCCACUAGCAGAACAGAACUGUUGGGUGUGGCUGAGGGGAAUCUAGAACACAGGCAGAGGAGGGAGAGUAUAAAUAUCAACUAACGCUCAGCACCAAAUGCAGAAGUGGUGAACGCUGCUUGGUCUACCAUCCUCUUGCUAUGUGGCAUUGGUCAGAAUUUAGUCAUGUGGACAUACCAAACUGCAAAUGAGGCUGGGAAAUGAAUUGUAGCUACAUGCCCAGGAGGAAGGAGACUUGGCCUGAAUUAUUUCUUGCAGAAGAUCCAAAAACCUUCUGUUGGGGUCUGAAUUGGGACUCCUUUCCUGUAGCAUCUUUCUGGUGACCACUGAAGGGACUAUAGUGCAGAAAACCCCCACCCAAAGGCUAACUUUCGGUAAGUGGUAGGGGCCAGUAACAUCUUUCUGGUGAACUCUGAAGGGACGAUACUGAAGAAACCCUCCCACCCAAAGGAAAUAGACUACAGCACUGAUUGGCCAACUUUGGAUGCAGAACCCAUGGAAACAGAAGGGAAACUAAAUGUUAGAAUCUGAUCAUGUGAAGCUUUGGUCACCAAAGAAAUGAAUCAUAAUGCUAAUAAUGAGUUCCUGACUCAACCCUGAGGAUCUACCAAAAUUUUCCUCCUUUGUUCACCAGCUGAUGCCAGGUGUGGAGGGGCAGAAGGAAGAAGCAAAGUGGAGUAGGAAGUGUGAGAAUGUGCAUGUAAUCUACGCCUAUGCAGCACAUCCAGGCACGCCAGCUUCAACUCGCUUCAUCAUGAGAGACCAAAAAUAAACAUAAUGAAAUAGAGGACAUUCUCGCGCCUCAAAAAAUUGAACUAUCUUAAAAGUUUACUUUUGAGAAAUGUGAGUCACAAAAAGUAAAACAACGUACUCAAGGUCACACCGCUGAGAAGUGUGUUAGGUGAGACAUCUUGAAGCUCUUCCUUCUCAUGCUGGAAAGGCUGUCAGAAAGUUCAAGUCCUCCUCUUGACAUAGUACAUGCCUAUUUGCUCAUUGGGAUAGGCUAACCUUUUCAAGCAAUGUGCGGCACCCCUUAGCUUCAAUAAAGUGUUCAAUGUAAGAAGAAUAUGCUCUGUAUCCAUAAUAAAAUCACCACAAAUCAAAAAAAUGACCAAGUUGCA
rnacentral:lncRNA from 1 species